GGCAUCAGUCUUCACACUGAGGAAGAACAGUUAAGUUCACUGUACAGCACCGCAUUAUGUCCGCUCUACGCUCUCUUCUGGUGAUGGUGGUGGUACUCCUGGCUCUGGUGUACGUGGCAGUGGCACUACCCUACCUUACUAACGGACAUGGUGGCAGAUUAGGACACGACGGAGGAUACGGGAUUGGACACGGUCCUCUCGGUAAUCUGGUCAAUGGGCCAGUUUACCGACCAUCAGAUAAUACCAUCACCCAUCACUAUGGAUCGACAUAGUGACAUGAUUAAAGACAUAGUGACAUGGUUAAAAACAUGAUGCUGUCUUUAACCUGACAGUGGAUUUUGGUGUAUAUUGGGUGCCGGAGGGCGAAUGAUUGACCACCUUCAACUCUUCUCAUGUCCAACUCAUUCCUACUAUUCCUCAAGAUGAGGAAUUGAGACUGUGAUUAUAAAUAUAUUUUUGUAAUAAAGAUUUUGUUGUUAA
rnacentral:lncRNA from 1 species